rnacentral:rRNA from 1 species
UACGUAGGGUGCAAGCGUUAAUCGGAAUUACUGGGCGUAAAGCGUGCGCAGGCGGCUUUGCAAGACAGAUGUGAAAUCCCCGGGCUUAACCUGGGAACUGCAUUUGUGACUGCAUGGCUGGAGUGCGGCAGAGGGGGAUGGAAUUCCACGUGUAGCAGUGAAAUGCGUAGAGAUGUGGAGGAAUACCGAUGGCGAAGGCAGCCCCCUGGGACGUGACUGACGCUCAUGCACGAAAGCGUGGGGAGCAAACAGG